UGCCAGACUCCUACGGGAGGCAGCAGUCGGGAAUAUUGCGCAAUGGAGGGAACUCUGACGCAGUGACGCCGCGUAUAGGAAGAAGGUUUUCGGAUUGUAAACUAUUGUCGUUAGGGAAGAUAAAAGACGGUACCUAAGGAGGAAGCUCCGGCUAACUACGUGCCAGCAGCCGCGGUAAUACGUAGGGAGCAAGCGUUAUCCGGAUUUAUUGGGUGUAAAGGGUGCGUAGACGGGAAAUUAAGUUAGUUGUGAAAUCCCGCGGCUCAACUGAGGAACUGCAACUAAAACUGAUUUUCUUGAGUGCAGGAGAGGUAAGUGGAAUUCCUAGUGUAGCGGUGAAAUGCGUAGAUAUUAGGAGGAACACCAGUGGCGAAGGCGACUUACUGGACUGUAACUGACGUUGAGGCACGAAAGUGUGGGGAGCAAACAGGAUUAGAUACCCGCGUAA
rnacentral:rRNA from 1 species